GAUGAACGCUGGCGGCGUGCUUAACACAUGCAAGUCGAACGAAGCAUUUAGGACAGAUUACUUCGGUUUGAAGUUCUUUAUGACUGAGUGGCGGACGGGUGAGUAACGCGUGGGUAACCUGCCUUGUACUGGGGGAUAGCAGCUGGAAACGGCUGGUAAUACCGCAUAAGCGCACAAUGUUGCAUGACAUGGUGUGAAAAACUCCGGUGGUAUAAGAUGGACCCGCGUCUGAUUAGCUAGUUGGUGAGAUAACAGCCCACCAAGGCGACGAUCAGUAGCCGACCUGAGAGGGUGACCGGCCACAUUGGGACUGAGACACGGCCCAGACUCCUACGGGAGGCAGCAGUGGGGAAUAGUGCACAAUGGAGGAAACUCGGAUGCAGCGACGCCGCGUGAGGGAAGAAGUAAUUCGUUAUGUAAAGCUCUAUCAGCAGGGAAGAUAGUGACGGUACUUGACUAAGAAGCUCCGGCUAAAUACG
rnacentral:rRNA from 1 species